AACGAACGCUGGCGGCGCGUCUUAAACAUGCAAGUCGAACGAUCUGUAGCAAUACAGGGAGUGGCGGACGGGUGAGGAACACGUAGGAAUCUACCUCGACGAGCGGGACAACUUUGGGAAACCGGGGCUAAUACCGCAUAGUACAGAGAUGUUAAAGGGCUAGCAAUAGUCGCUUCUAGAUGAGCCUGCGGUCUAUCAGCUUGUUGGUGAGGUAAUGGCUCACCAAGGCAGCGACGGAUAGCCGGUCUGAGAGGAUGAUCGGCCACACUGGCACUGAGACACGGGCCAGACUCCUACGGGAGGCAGCAGUUAAGAAUCUUGCGCAAUGGGGGAAACCCUGACGCAGCGACGCCGCGUGAAGGAUGAAGGCUUUCGGGUGUAACUUACGG
rnacentral:rRNA from 1 species